rnacentral:rRNA from 1 species
UACUCCUACGGGAGGCAGCAGUAGGGAAUCUUCCACAAUGGACGCAAGUCUGAUGGAGCAACGCCGCGUGAGUGAAGAAGGCUUUCGGGUCGUAAAACUCUGUUGUUGGAGAAGAAUGGUCGGCAGAGUAACUGUUGUCGGCGUGACGGUAUCCAACCAGAAAGCCACGGCUAAUUACGUGCCAGCAGCCGCGGUAAUACGUAGGUGGCAAGCGUUAUCCGGAUUUAUUGGGCGUAAAGCGAGCGCAGGCGGUUUUUUAAGUCUGAUGUGAAAGCCCUCGGCUUAACCGAGGAAGUGCAUCGGAAACUGGGAAACUUGAGUGCAGAAGAGGACAGUGGAACUCCAUGUGUAGCGGUGAAAUGCGUAGAUAUAUGGAAGAACACCAGUGGCGAAGGCGGCUGUCUGGUCUGUAACUGACGCUGAGGCUCGAAAGCAUGGGUAGCGAACAGGAUUAGAUACCCUGGUAGUCCAUGCCGUAAACGAUGAAUGCUAGGUGUUGGAGGGUUUCCGCCCUUCAGUGCCGCAGCUAACGCAUUAAGCAUUCCGCCUGGGGAUUACGACCGCAAGGUUGAAACUCAAAGGAAUUGACGGA